GUGCUUAUAGUCGGACAGUAUUUUCUAAACUAUGUGCCAUGUGAAUUAAUAAAUGCUCUUAAAAUGUUUUAUUUUGUUUCUGCAAGAAAAGGACAGUAAACUUAAUGAAAGUGUCUCGCUAUAAAGUCAUACUAUCAGUGAGUGAUACAGUAUGUGGACUCUGGGAUUUAUAAUGUGACGUUCGUGUAGCCUAAUCCUCCAUCGGUUGACAUGUGUGUUUACCGGCAAUCAUUUAAACUGGAAACUCAAGAUGGUUGUAUUUAUACAUGCUUAUGUUUACUCUUUUUCCAGAAUAAAGAAAAUGCCAACAGUUCUGUGUCUAUAUUAGUGGAACAUGAGACAUGCACAGCCUUGCAGCUAUAGAUUCCAGACAUUUGAAAUAAAACAUGCAGGGGACACUCAGUGGUUUGUCAGAUGUAUGCCCACCCUGAAGUACAUAACGUGGAGAAAGCAAGGCAAUGCAAUUGGAAGAUUAGUAUCUAUUAUUGAAGAAACACUCCAGCUUGAAGGUGCUGGCAUGAAUGUACGGUGCGUUCGGAAAGUAUUCAGACCCCUUGACUUUUUCCACAUUUUGUUACGUUACAGCCUUAUUCUAAAAUGGAUUAAAUUAAUAUCCCCUCUCAAUCUACACACACUACUUCAUAAUGACAAAGUGCAACGUUAUUUUUGCACAUUUUAUUUAAAGAAGAAAAAAACUCUGAUUUGCUUAAGUAUUCAGACCCUUUGUGAUGAGACUCAAUUGAGCUCAGGUGCAUCCUGUUUUCAUUGAUCAUCCUUGAUGUUUCUACAACUUGAUUGGAGUCCACCUGUGGUUUAUUCAAUUGAUUGGACAUUAUUUGGAAAGACACAUCUACCUACAGUGCGUUCGGAAGGUUUUCAGACCCCUUGACUUAUUCCACAUUUUGUUACGUUACAGCCUAAUACCCCAUAAUGAUAAAGCAAAAACAUGUUUUUAGACAUUUUUGCAAAUGUAUAAAAAAAAUAUGAAAUAUCAUAUUUGCAUAUGUAUUCAGACCCUUUACUCAGUACUUUGUUGAAGCAACUUUGGCAGCUAUUGAUUACAGCCUCGUGUUCUUGGGUAUGACGCUACAAGCUUGGCACCUGUAUUUGGGGAGUUUCUCCCAUUCUUCUCUGCAGAUCCUCUCAAGCUCUGUCAUGUUGGAUGGGGCGCGUCGCUGCACAGCUAUUUUCAGGUCUCUCCAAAGAUGUUCAAUUGGGUUCAAGUCCAGGCUCUGGCAGGGACACACGGACAUUCAGAGACUUGUCCCGAAGCCACUCCUGCGUUGUCUUGGCUGUGUGCGUAGGGUUGUUUUCCUGUUGGAAGGUGCGAAGGACCUUUCUGUACUUUGUUCCGUUCAUCUUUCCCUCGAUCCUGACUAGUCUCCCAGUCCCUGCAGCUGAAGAACAUCCCCACAGCACGAUGCUGCCACCAUGGUUUACCGUGGGGAUGGUGCCAGGUUUCCUCUAGAAGUGAAGCUUGGCAUUCAGGCCAAAGAGUUCAAUAUUGGUUUCAUCAGACCAGAGCAUCUCGUUUCUCCUAGUUAGAGUGCUUUAGG
ensembl:lncRNA